GGCCCGUUGGUCAAGCGGUUAAGACAUCGCCCUCUCAAGGCGGUAACAGGGGUUCGAUUCCCCUACGGGCUACCA
rnacentral:tRNA from 2 species